CAGGAACUGGCAAAACUGGAUGCUCUUCUAAAAUCCCAGCCUGAAAAUACUACUGACAUGAGUUCUCAGCAUGAUAUUCAGCCACUACCUUCAUCUGAUAGUUCCUUCUUGGAGGAAUUAAGGACCAGCGAAAGAUUGGAAAAAGAGCAGCAGGCAAGAGUUCCUUCUGUAUUUUCCACAUCACCAAUUCAACCUGAAAAUUGCUCUGUUGAAUACUUAAAAAAGAGGCCAUCAAGACAAAAACAGGUCUCUACAUAUACAGAAACAUCUUUUGAUGAAUCUGAUUACAC